rnacentral:rRNA from 1 species
GCGAAGCGUACGAUUGGAUUGUACGUCCAAGCAGUAAGACUGAGUGUUAGGCAAAUCCGGCACUCUUAAGGUCAAGCUGUGAUGGGGAGAGGGAAUUGUUUCCUCGAGUCGUUGAUUUCACACUGCCGAGAAAAGCCUCUAGCUAGAUUUAUGGUGCCCGUACCGCAAACCGACACAGGUAGUCAAGAUGAGAAUUCUAAGGUGAGCGAGCGAACUCUCGUUAAGGAACUCGGCAAAAUGACCCCGUAACUUCGGGAGAAGGGGUGCUCUUUAGGGUUGACGCC